rnacentral:lncRNA from 1 species
GGAAUUUCCUGCAGUAAGACAUGCAUAGGGAGGCAGGGGCAGGAGAAGGGAGUCCACUGACCUAAUGUUUUGUUUCACAGAAUUUUCCCUGGUAUCCUAAUAAGUGCAAGAUGGGAUGUCACUUUUCCUGUCUCUUAUGCCUACGGCAUUUUUUCUUCUCUCUUUAUAGGCCCUUUUUACUGUUUUGAAGUGUUUUGCUUGCAUACUAUAGAUCAUAGUGUUAUGAUGCUGAUCAACGUUAGGAAAAAAAACUCAAAAAACCUGCUUUACAUGUACAAAAUCUUCUGAUGAUCUCACCUAACUGUCAUUCAAAAAAACCCCCACAAAGCAGCAAAAUCGUUGUGACUCAAGAAAAGAAGAAACUACUUCUUUGGAGUGUUCUCAUUAUUGAUUCUGCUGUCAAUGUGAAUGCCCUGCAUCCUGGUGUUCCUGAGCAGAGAACUCCAGAAGGGAACCAAUGGGUAGAAGAGAAACAGGAAUUACUUCAGCUGCUGCCGUCUUCUGACUGAAUCAAAGGGUGUCGUUUGUUUUUGAAACCUCACGAUUUUUGUUUGAUAAGACUAGCGGCAGCAACACCCACGCAGGAGUGCCACACCUUCCUAAGUGAAGAGUGAAGUACAGGGCACGUUGUUGCCGGGAGCAAGGAGGAAAGGCAGAAGAGGAUGUAGAAGCUCAGGGUUUGGUGACUAUUUUGGUGGAGUUAGUAGACCAGCGUUACAUAUAUUACACAUAUGAAACAGCAUUACAGCUGUCCUUGUCUUUUUUUUUUUUUUAAAGCAUUCUUACCAUUUCCACUUUCUAGCUGAUGCUGGUUUCUAGAAGUCUCGGAAACUAUCAUCACUCUUUUGCUGCUGUUGGUUUCUGAAGUUUGCUUAUGCUCCUCUGCAGGUUAAAGAUGUCAUUGGUUUCUUUCCAAAGAUUAAUCCAAUGUCACGUCCCUUUGCUCCAAUAAUAUGUUGCUGUUUCAGCACUGUGGCAUUCAUUCUGUGUUGACACUGCUGCACCACGGGUUGCUGGCGUUGCUGCUAACAACUACAUUUGUCGAUGGGCUGGGAGACAUCUCCAGCUAUGCUAAUGCAAGUCUUAGGAGCACUGUUUCCAGAUUUUAAUCCUACGUGGUUAAUUUCUCCUGGAAUCUAGGAUCUCUGUGGAUAUGCCAGAUAUGCCUGCUGUAACUUGAACUGGUGAUGUUCUUCCUAUUGUGCAGAAGGCACAAUGCUUUUCUGGACUAAGUUGCGGUUCUGUGUUUUGUAGUUUGUUUUUAAACUAAACUACCAUUGCCUCACAAUUUUUUUUUAAAUGUGGCAUGCUCUGUAAGAGUUGGGUAAAGACUGACAGAUGCAUAUAUGACAUUUAAAAUUCAUGUGGAAUAGCAUUUUAUGCUUUCAAUUACCCUCUUUAUGCCUCCAAUAAUUUGUCAAGCUACCUGAUUUCAUCUGUGUUCAGAUUCCACCCACCUUCCUGUUCUACUGCAAAUCCCUAUCCUAUAAA